AAAAAGCAAAUGGGGUGCGCCUCCACUAUGACUAUCAUUAUUCUCUCUUGAAAAAAGAAAUUUUCAUUAAUUUUUCUUUAAUUCAGGGAUAUUUUUCAGCUAUGGAGUUAGGUGACAACAAGAUUUUGAAUGUGGGGUUGCUUUUAGUUGCAACCCUUUUGGUAGCAAAGCUCAUAUCUGCACUAAUUAUGCCCAGAUCUAAGAAACGUUUGCCUCCAGUGGUUAAGGCAUGGCCUAUUGUUGGUGGGUUGAUCCGUUUUCUUAAAGGGCCAGUUGUGAUGCUUAGACAGGAGUAUCCAAAGCUUGGGAGUGUGUUUACUCUGAAUUUGUUGAACAAGAACAUCACAUUCUUCAUUGGUCCAGAAGUUUCUGCACAUUUUUUCAAAGCCCCAGAAACAGAUCUUAGCCAACAAGAGGUUUAUCAGUUCAAUGUGCCUACCUUUGGACCUGGUGUGGUUUUUGAUGUUGAUUAUACAAUUAGGCAGGAACAGUUCAGGUUCUUUACUGAAGCUCUCAGAGUCACUAAGUUGAAGGGCUAUGUAGAUCAGAUGGUUACAGAAGCUGAGGAAUACUUCUCGAAAUGGGGUGAGAGUGGUGAAGUAGACCUAAAAUAUGAACUGGAGCAUCUUAUCAUAUUGACAGCUAGUAGAUGUCUGUUGGGAGAAGAGGUCCGCAAUAAACUCUUUGAUGAUGUGUCUGCUCUCUUCCAUGACCUGGACAAUGGGAUGCUCCCUAUCAGUGUUAUCUUUCCCUACCUUCCAAUUCCAGCCCAUCGCCGACGUGACAAUGCCAGGAAGAAGCUAGCAGAGAUCUUUGCAAACAUCAUAAAUUCUCGAAAACGUACAGGCAAGGCAGAGAAUGAUAUGUUACAAUGCUUCAUUGACUCAAAGUACAAAGAUGGACGGCCAACAACAGAGGGUGAGAUCACAGGUCUUCUGAUUGCUGCUCUUUUCGCUGGGCAGCACACCAGUUCGAUCACUUCCACUUGGACAGGGUCAUACCUCCUCACCAACGACAAGUACAUGUCGGCUGUUGUAGAUGAACAGAAGAAUCUGAUGAAGAAACACGGGAAUAAGGUUGAUCACGAUAUCCUUUCCGAGAUGGAAGUCCUCUACAGAUGCAUAAAGGAAGCCCUCAGACUCCAUCCUCCACUGAUAAUGCUUCUGCGUAGUUCACAUAGCGAAUUCAGUGUUACAACCAGAGAAGGAAAAGAGUAUGACAUUCCCAAGGGACAUAUCGUUGCAACCUCACCUGCUUUUGCAAACAGGCUGCCACAUAUCUUCAAGAAUCCAGAUACUUACGACCCUGAUAGGUUCGGCCCUGGUAGAGAAGAAGAUAAGGCUGCAGGAGCAUUCUCAUAUAUUUCUUUUGGUGGAGGCAGACAUGGUUGUCUUGGAGAACCAUUUGCUUAUCUGCAGAUUAAAGCAAUAUGGAGUCACUUGCUGAGAAAUUUCGAGUUUGAACUGAUCUCGCCUUUCCCUGAAAUUGACUGGAACGCUAUGGUUGUCGGUGUCAAAGGGGAAGUAAUGGUGAAGUACAAGCGCCGAAAGCUCUCUGUUGAAUAAGCAGAUAACAUCUGCAUGAAUGUGGUAGUUUAAGAUCAUUUAUGUUGGUUUGUUAAACCUUAUUUCUUGUUUAAUGUUGACUUCUAUGUUUAAUGUUAGUCCUGUUUCUCUUGAAGAUUGCAAUGACUAAGAUUAU
rnacentral:misc_RNA from 1 species